AUGGAAGAACCAGUUGAAACUGAAGCUGCAGUAGGUGUGGAAGCUCAAGCUGGGGAUGACCAAGUCACCACCCAAGAAUUCAGCAGUAAUGUAGAUGUAGAAGAUGUUGCUGCUAAGAGGGCCUACUGGGAUUUCACACCACCAUCUUGCUCUCUUGGCCUAGAUUUUGGCCUUACACCGCCAGCACUAGAUAUUACUACGACAGCCGCAGUCCCAGCUGCAGUACCAGCACCGGCCCCAGUGGUUCUUUCGACAACUCAAGCACCAGUAGUGGACCCAGCGGAUAACAAUGCUCCCCAAGAACCAGCAACAGCAUCCCCAAUUGAUCAGACGACGGCAGCACCUCAGGAUUUAAAGAAUGCAAGAGAUAAUCUUGUUGACGCUAAGCCGGUUUCAUGCUCUUAG
rnacentral:rRNA from 1 species